rnacentral:lncRNA from 1 species
AGAAUGGGCAUCGAGCUCAAGAUCAAGACAAGUGAAACAUAAUCAGCCUCGACCUCGACUGAAGGGUCUGAUCCGAGUGGAAGAUAUCGGAGGAUGGAAUGCAAUGGGCUGGAUAAAAGCUGGCUCACUGGAUGCAGAGGGCUUGGACUGGAGCUGAGUCCUAAUGGCAUCUAACUGGGAUAAGACCCCCCUCAUGAAAACUCAGAGCCCAUCA